rnacentral:rRNA from 1 species
GCGGACGGGUGAGUAACGCGUGAGCAACCUGUCCUUGUCUGGGGGAUAAGAAGCCGAAAGGCUUUCUAAUACCGCAUGAGACCACGGGAUCACAUGAUUCUGAGGUCAAAGGAGUAAUCCGGACAAGGGUGGGCUCGCGUCUGAUUAGCUAGUUGGUGGGGUAACGGCCCACCAAGGCGAUGAUCAGUAGCCGACCUGAGAGGGUGAUCGGCCACACUGGAACUGAGACACGGUCCAGACUCCUACGGGAGGCAGCAGUGGGGAAUAUUGGGCAAUGGGCGAAAGCCUGACCCAGCAACGCCGCGUGAAGGAAGAAGGUUUUCGGAUCGUAAACUUCUAUCCCAGAUGAAGAUAAUGACGGUAAUCUGGAAGGAAGCCCCGGCUAACUACGUGCCAGCAGCCGCGGUAAUACGUAGGGGGCAAGCGUUGUCCGGAAUGAUUGGGCGUAAAGGGCGCGUAGGCGGCCUUCUAAGUCCGGUGUGAAAGUCCUGCUUUUAAGGUGGGAAUUGCAUUGGAAACUGGAAGGCUUGAGUGCAGGAGAGGUAAGUGGAAUUCCCGGUGUAGCGGUGAAAUGCGUAGAGAUCGGGAGGAACACCAGUGGCGAAGGCGACUUACUGGACUGUAACUGACGCUGAGGCGCGAAAGUGUGGGGAGCAAACAGGAUUAGAUACCCUGGUAGUCCACACUGUAAACGAUGAGUGCUAGGUGUAGGAGGUAUCGACCCCUUCUGUGCCGGAGUUAACACAAUAAGCACUCCGCCUGGGGAGUACGGCCGCAAGGUUGAAACUCAAAGGAAUUGACGGGGGCCCGCACAAGCAGCGGAGCAUGUUGUUUAAUUCGAAGCAACGCGA